CACGUGCUACAAUGGCGCAUACAAAGAGAAGCGACCUCGCGAGAGCAAGCGGACCUCAUAAAGUGCGUCGUAGUCCGGAUUGGAGUCUGCAACUCGACUCCAUGAAGUCGGAAUCGCUAGUAAUCGUGGAUCAGAAUGCCACGGUGAAUACGUUCCCGGGCCUUGUACACACCGCCCGUCACACCAUGGGAGUGGGUUGCAAAAGAAGUAAGUAGCUUAACCUUCGGGAGGGCGCUUACCACUUUGUGAUUCAUGACUGGGGUGAAGUCGUAACAAGGUAACCGUAGGGGAACCUGCGGUUGGAUCACCUCCUUACCUUAAAGAAGC
rnacentral:rRNA from 1 species